UACAUUCAAAGAGUGCGUAAUAGCUCACUAGUCGAGAGGUCCUGCGCCGAAAAUGAACCGGGGCUAAACACGACACCGAAGCUCAGGAAUCCGAAAGGAUUGGUAGAGGAGCAUUGCUGAAGCGACGAAGCAGUACCGGAAGGAGCUGUGGAGUUUCAGGAAGAGAGAAUGCCGGAAUGAGUAGCGAGAGAAAGGUGAGAAUCCUUUCGGCCGAAUAUCCAAGGUUUCCAGGGUAAAGCUGAUCUGCCCUGGGUAAGUCGGGGCCUAAGGCGAGGCAGAAAUGCGUAGUCGAUGGACAGCAGGUUGAGAUUCCUGCACCCGUAAUGAACAGAACUGUAGUGACACGGAAGGUAAGACAGAGCCGGGAAUGAGAAAACCGGUGCAAGCACAAUAGAUGUGUGGGAGGAAAAACCCCCGCAUAAGUCGAAGGUGUGACGCGGACCGAAAAAGAGUAGGGAAGCUGUUAAGCAAGCCGUCAAGAAAAGCUGCUAUUGUUUCAUUAUGGCCCGUACCGUAAACCGACACAGGUGGAUGGGGAGAGAAUCCUAAGGCCGGCGGAAGAAGUAUUGUUAAGGAACUCGGCAAAAUGACCCCGUAACUUCGGGAGAAGGGGUGCCUGCGAGAGCAGGCCGCAGAGAAGAGGCCCAAGCAACUGUUUAGCAAAAACACAGGUCUAUGCAAAACCGAAAGGUGAGGUAUAUGGGCUGACGCCUGCCCGGUGCUGGAAGGUUAAGGGGAGUGGUCAGGAAACGAAGCCACGAACUUAAGCCCCAGUAAACGGCGGCCGUAACUAUAACGGUCCUAAGGUAGCGAAAUUCCUUGUCGGGUAAGUUCCGACCCGCACGAAAGGCGUAAUGAUUUGGGCGCUGUCUCGACAAUGCAUCCGGUGAAAUUGAAGUACCAGUGAAGAUGCUGGUUACCUGCGCCAGGACGGAAAGACCCCAUGGAGCUUUACUCCAGCUUGAUACUGGGACCCGGUAUUGCAUGUACAGGAUAGGUGGGAGGCUAGGAAAUGUGGACGCCAGUCUGCAUGGAGCCGCUGUUGGGAUACCACCCUUGUGGUGCUGGGUUUCUAACCAGAGGCCGUGAACCGGUCUGGGGACAAUGUCAGGUGGGGAGUUUGACUGGGGCGGUCGCCUCCGAAAGGGUAUCGGAGGCGCCCAAAGGUUCCCUCAGAAUGGUUGGAAACCAUUCGAAGAGUGCAAAGGCAGAAGGG
rnacentral:rRNA from 1 species